GACGAACGCUGGCGGCGUGCUUAACACAUGCAAGUCGAACGGUGAAGCGCCUUCCUUUUUGGUGGGUGUGGAUGAGUGGCGAACGGGUGAGUAACACGUGAGUAACCUGCCCCCUUCUUCUGGAUAACCGCAUGAAAGUGUGGCUAAUACGGGAUAUUCUGGGUCUGUCGCAUGAUGGGUCUGGGAAAGAUAUUGUUUCGGUGGGGGAUGGGCUCGCGGCCUAUCAGCUUGUUGGUGGGGUGAUGGCCUACCAAGGCGGUGACGGGUAGCCGGCCUGAGGGGGUGGGCGGUCCCACUGGGGAGGAGACGCGGACCAGACUCCUACGGGAGGCAGCAGGGGGGAAUAUUGCACAAUGGGCGGAAGGCUGAUGCAGCGACGCCGCGUGAGGGAUGGAGGCCGUCGGGUUGUGAACCUCUUUCGCCAGUGAAGCAGGCCUGCCUCGUUUGUGGGUGGGUUGACGGUAGCUGGAUAAGAAGCGCCGGCUAACUACGUG
rnacentral:rRNA from 1 species